UUUAAUGGAGAGUUUGAUCCUGGCUCAGGACGAACGCUGGCGGCGUGCCUAAUACAUGCAAGUCGAGCGGAUUUAGUCGGGAGCUUGCUCCUGACUGAGUUAGCGGCGGACGGGUGAGUAACACGUAGGUAACCUGCCCGUAAGACCGGGAUAACAUUCGGAAACGGAUGCUAAUAGCGGAUACGCAAUACCCUCGCAUGGGGGAAUUGGGAAAGGCGGAGCAAUCUGCCGCUUACGGAUGGACCUGCGGCGCAUUAGCUAGUUGGUGAGGUAACGGCUCACCAAGGCGACGAUGCGUAGCCGACCUGAGAGGGUGAUCGGCCACACUGGGACUGAGACACGGCCCAGACUCCUACGGGAGGCAGCAGUAGGGAAUCUUCCGCAAUGGACGAAAGUC
rnacentral:rRNA from 1 species